GACGAACGCUGGCGGCGUGCUUAACACAUGCAAGUCGAACGGAAAGGCCUCUUUCGGGGGGUACUCGCGUGGCGAACGGGUGAGUAACACGUGCGUAACCUGCCCUUGUCUUUGGGAUAACUUCCGGAAACUGGGGCUAAUACCGGCUAGGAGCUACUGUUGCAUGGUGGGGGUUGGAAAGUUUCGGCGGUUGGGGAUGGACUCGCGGGUUAUCAGCUUGUUGGUGGGGUGAUGGCUUACCAAGGCUUUGACGGGUAGCCGGCCUGAGAGGGUGACCGGCGACAUAGGGACCGAGGGACGGCCCAGACUCCUACGGGAGGCAGCAGGGGGGAAGAUUGCACAAGGGGUGGAAGCCUGAUGCAGCAACGCCGUGUGCGGGAUGACGGCCUUCUGGUUGUAAACCGCUUUCGCUCAUGACGAAGCUUUGUGUGACGGUAGUGGGUAAAGAAGCACCGGCUAACUACGUG
rnacentral:rRNA from 1 species